rnacentral:rRNA from 1 species
UACGGGGGGGGCAAGCGUUGUUCGGAAUUACUGGGCGUAAAGGGCUCGUAGGCGGCCAACUAAGUCAGACGUGAAAUCCCCUCGGCUUAACCGGGGAACUGCGUCUGAUACUGGUUGGCUUGAAUCCGGGAGAGGGAUGUGGAAUUCCAGGUGUAGCGGUGGAAAUGACGUAGAUAUCUGGAGGAACACCGGUGGCGAAGGCGGCAUCCUGGACCGGUAUUGACGCUGAGGAGCGAAAGCCAGGGGAGCAAACGGG